GACGAACUCUGGCGGCGUGCUUAACACAUGCAAGUCGAACGAAGUGGCGAACGGGUGAGUAACGCGUACUCAACCUGCCCUUCAGAGGGGGACCACAGUUGGAAACGACUGCUAAUACCGCAUACUGAAGGAGGGGAUUGCGUCUGAUUAGCUAGUUGGAGGGGUAACGGCCCACCAAGGCGAUGCUCAGUAGCCGGUCUGAGAGGAUGAACGGCCACAUUUGGACUGAGAAACGGCCCAGACUCCUACGGGAGGCAGCAGUGGGGAAGCUUCCGAAAUGGACGAAAGUCUGACGGAGCAACGCCGCGGGAGUGAUGACGGCCUUCGGGUUGUAAAGCUCUGUUAAUCGGGACGCGGUACCGGAAUAGAAAGCCACGGCUAACUCCGUGCCAGCAGCCGCGGUAAUAC
rnacentral:rRNA from 1 species